rnacentral:lncRNA from 1 species
AGAGAAGAUGUGACGACGGGGCGGAGGUCACAGUGAUGGGCUUUAAGGACGCACACAGAGACCACAGGCGAGGAAUGCAGACCACCAGUGGGAUGUGGAGAAGGCCAGAGAAUGGAUUCUCUUGCAGAGCCUCCAGAGGGAACACAGCCCUGCAGACGCCUUGCGCUCAGCCAAGUUUGACUGUGGGUCCCCCAGACUCUGCUCCUGCUAUGCUCCAACCUCACUCUUCCCUGAUUUCUCCUCCUGGCAUUCCAGGCUCCUGGACCCCAGUAUCUUCUUCAGACUGAGGAUUUGACUUCUGCUUGGUCUCCUAGGGGAAUGGCUAUUUCUGGCCCAUAACAAAGAAAGGGUCGUCAGCAGGACACAGCCAUGAGCCUCGGCGUUUAUUCCUUCCUCUCUGGAGUGCCUUCCCCUACUACAGAGAUUUGAAAGCUUGAACUACAUUUCCCACAGCCCUUUGCAGUCAGGGUCCUGGUUACAAAAUCAGUUCUGUAAGAGAAGCACUUACAUGACGUUAGAAGACAGAAGGCAAACAGGAAAGACCAGUGUCCAGCCUCCUGCUCCAGUCGCAGCAGUGGCUGGAUUCAGCAUCCCCAUGGCCAGCCAUCAGCUUUCUGUGUCAAAAGGCAGCUGUCUCUACGACUGAGGAUUUAGGCCCACGGGCACUGGCAGCUCCCUAAUCCCAUCUUCCCGAUUCCCUGGGUCACAGCUAUGACAACGUGUUCCUGGAGUUAAUUUCCUGUUCCUUGGUAUUCUGGUAGUCAUUCCUGGAGACCCAGACUGGAAUUGAGCCAUCAGCCUCUUCAGAUGAUUUUGUAAAUCUUUAAGUGCCUGUAUUAAAUCCCUUCCUGCUUAAAGUACCUGGCAUGGUUUCUGUUCCCUACACUCAACCUGGACUAGCAAGGAGUCAGUAACAGCUGGAGCAGGUAAAUCCUAAAUCAGAGCUACUGUCUGGGCAUCUCUAAAAUAUAAAUUGCCCCAAGGUCUAAGCGACUUGUCCUGGAAGUAGACGUUUUCGACCUCGAUCACCACUGUCCUACAGAGCUGGACCAAGUGAUACCUGCCUUCAUUUUAUGUGAUGGUCUUUAUACACCAGCUGUUCAGAAUUCUUGAACCCCAGAAUAAAGGGUUUAAGGAGCCCAGCAGCCCUAGGAACUAACACAGGCACCGACUGCACCAAGCAGGAUUCUGGAAGCUGAGGUUACAGUGGAGAAGGAAACAGCCCACGGGAGCCAGCAGGAGCCAGCAGGAGGCCAGUGGGGAUGGAGAGAGGAUGGCACAAAGGGACGGCAAGGUCCGGCAGGGGUUGGGAACACUGAGGCAGCCGCAGACUCUACAAGGUCUCCAGGUCCAGAGCGUGGACCCUCUGAAGUCAGUCCUUCCUCCACAGUUUCUGUCUGAAAUCCUGCUCCACGUUGUGUUCGGCUUUCACGUGGCACACGCCUCUCCUUGCUGGACACGCCAGCCAGGCUUUGUCAUUUCAUCCUAUCUUUUUUGUCAGCUCAUGACAGUAACAGCAGUGUCACUCCAAAACAACCUUGGCAUUCACACCAGCACCUAUCUGGGCACCAAAAUCUCGAGGUGACACUUGGCUUUGAGGCCAGCCUCCCACAUCUUUCAGAGCAUGCUCCAUGAGUGACCUGAAUCUGCCUGCUGACAUCCUCAGGUGGAAUAUGCCACCAGGGUCCCUUCUCCAGCCCCACCACACUGCGGCCCACUCCUUCCAGGCACCCCGGAACACUGUCCGACAGCGCCGACCCACAGGAUGUUCCAGGACCAUGGAAGUGCUUUAUGUCUGUGCUGUCUAAUACAGGAGUUAUUGAACAUUAGAAAUGUUGUUAGUGGGCUGGGGAACUGAACUUUUAAUUGCAUUUAGUUGUAGUUAAUUUAAGUGUAAAUCAUCACUUGUGGCUCGUGGCUACCUUACUGGGUAGCUCUGGCUAGCUCUACGGGAUCUAGGUCAGCCUUCUUAAAAAGAUGGAAGAGGUUGGGUGUGAUGGCUCACACCUGUAAUCCCAGCACUUUGGGAGGCCGA